GGGAUCUUGGCGAAGGAUGGAAUCGUCCUUGCUGCGGAGAAAAAGGUGACCAGCAAGCUGCUAGAGCAGGACA